CAUGAAAACGCGCAUUCUUUCAUGAUAUUGUCGGACAGCGGCCCUCAGGCCAGGCCAUUUUCAUUUUAAGUGCUUUCACGCGUUUGUUUGGAGAAAACGUCGAUGACGAGAAGGAGCGGCUCCAUACGCGUUUCUAUCGGUUACCUAGCUCAUUAUAACGUCAGACAUUCCUUUGGCACUCACAUGUGAGUAAACACACAUUUUCUACAAGACGCUGAGAAAUUGUUUGCCGUUGUAGUGACGGAAACAAAAUAAAGCCCUCCCCAAAAUAAGCUUAAGUUAUGACACGUCAAUGGUGUGCGUUAAAGCUAACCAGGAUCUCAAUCAUUACCAGUGAAAAAAAAAAAAGAAGAAAGAAAUCAAUAAAUAAAAUAUUUCUUUUUUGGUCGACCAAUAACAAUCGAAAAAUGUUAAUCAUCAAUAAACGUGAAAUCGGGAGGAUGGCUGUACAUAUAAGCCUUAAGGUAAAAAGGUGCGGCCGGCUUGAAUCCAAGGUUGGAAGAUACUUGUCAGUAGACGAAAUGUUCAAGCUCUUCAGCACCAACAGGAAAAAAAAAAAUUUAAAAAAAGGGUGGCGCUCCUGAUUUUUCAAGGAUGACAAAAUAAAACAAAGACUCGUUUUUGGGUGGAGUCGU